rnacentral:lncRNA from 1 species
GUCUUAACUGAGUCCUGAUGGGUUUAAGAAACCUCAGCCAGGUUCUGGAAAUGGCCUCUAGACCUGCCGCCUUCGGGGGUGGCCAGCACGGCCUCAACCCCAAAGCCAGGAUUCUCGCCUUACUGCAGUGAAGGACAGUCUCCACCGUCUGUUUUUGGAUUAUCAGCCAUCAGCCACUGCAAAGAAAGGAAAAAGAAAAAUAAGCGCUCCAACCUGCACAAGCAACUAUUUCUCCUCGACUCCUGCUCACCAUCUCCCCCACCCCCUUUUACUUCUCUGCUGGACCAUUUUUUGCAUCUGUGGCUGCCCAACUUGGGAGAUGGCUGGGCUGGGGGAGCCCAAGGGCACCUUGGAGAAGGAGCAGGACCAGGAAGACCCCCGGGACAGUGGGGAUUCCACAGCUGGGUGGUUCUAAGCCACCGGGUGCAUGAAAGGCCACAGGAUGCUGGUCCUGCUGCUACAUGGUGAGUUCCAAGCCUGGUCCUUCUGACCCCCAGCAGACAGCUGCCAG